rnacentral:rRNA from 1 species
CGCAAGCCUGACGGAGCUACACCGCGUGAGGGAAGACGGCCUUUGGGCUGUAAACCUCUUUUCUCAGGGAAGAAGGACUGACGGUACCUGAGGAAUCAGCCUCGGCUAACUCCGUGCCAGCAGCCGCGGUAAUACGGAGGAGGCAAGCGUUAUCCGGAAUUAUUGGGCGUAAAGCGUCCGCAGGGGGUCUUCCAAGUCUGCUGUCAAAGCCCGGGGCUCAACCCCGACGCGGCAGUGGAAACUGGAUAGCUAGAGGUCGGUAGGGGCAAAGGGAAUUCCCAGUGUAGCGGUGAAAUGCGUAGAGAUUGGGAAGAACACCGGUGGCGAAAGCGCUCUACUGGGUCGCACCUGACCCUCAGGGACGAAAGCUAAGGGAGCG